CUGAUAAAGGCUUAUCUGAAAGUCGUUAUUUCGUUUAUUUACAAAAGUUGGCGCACACAGGAAAUAAUCUGUCGACAUUCAGACGUCAUGUUUUUGUUGUGUUCUAAAUAUCCAAAAGCAAAGCAAUGUCUUUCGAUGUCAAAUACCACUAAAAUCAAAUCGAACCGUUUUUUUGUAUUAGCGUUUUGGAGCAUGGUGCAUUAUUCUUCGAAUUUUUUUUAGAAGCUUGUCAUGUUUUUAAAUAUUUGUUGUUUUGAAUACUUUUUAUUCAAAGUACAUAUUAUUAAAACACUAUAUAUACAAGUUUCUUUUUUUCUUAAAAAAUGUCCUUAAAUGUAU